CACUCUUUCCAUACACGUCCCUGGCCUCUGGCUUUCCUUGCUUCUGCUCCUGUGGCUUCCAUGGGUGUACAAGCUCCCUUGGACCUCUGCCUCAUCUUUCUUCUUUUGCACUUCAGCCUGCGCAUUCGCUUCUUCCUCCACUUCACUGUCACGGCGAGGAGGCUUCUCAGAAGAUGGCGCUAAGGCCGAGAGCACAUAUAUUUUUAAUAUUUAGUUUUUUUCCUGUUAGGUUGCUAGGUUUAUAUUUUUCUUUUCUUUCAGUGGUUAAACUAAAGGAAUAAGCAUUCAUGCUUGACUCAUCAAAGUUUGAUAUAAACUAGUUAUUUCAUCUUUUGUCAAGCAAUGCAAGAAUAUUAGAACACUUUACA